rnacentral:lncRNA from 1 species
AAAAUACUCCACGGCAUUAAUUAUUCAAUCGUGAACUUUAGCAUGCAUUUAUUUAAAAUAAAAGUCCACUCACAAAUUAGGCCUAAGCCUGAUGUCGAUCUGGGGUCUCGUCUGCUCGAGCCUCCUCACGUCCUGUUCCAAAUAUAAUAUUAAUUCCCAACCAAAUAAUCCAAUAUUUAAUCAAAAUAGGCAAAAAUUACCCGAGAGCCAUAAUUACGCUCAUCAUUGCCUAACUUCGAUAUUCUUACAUCGGAACGAUCCGAACUUAAAUAUCAUACUCAACAGUCGUAAAUACAACCUCUCCAAAAUACGACUUAAAUCCUACGGCCGGAUUCUACAUUAAUUACCCGCCAAAAAUACCACACUUCGGAAAUUCACAAACCUAUCCAAAUCUCAUCCAAAAAUUCCAAAAUUCACCUCAAUAAUAUCCCCUUAAUAUUCUACAUCAAAAACCAAACAAUUUCCCAAAACAACGGCGGCGCCGCCGGCGGCUCCGCCGGCAGCGGCGGCCGGCGACCAACUCCGGCGACCUGCAAAAGCUACCAAAUUUUAACAGAAUCUUCCUCUCAAUCUCCUCUACAACUUUCAUGACUAACACAUCACCCAAUUCCAAGCCUAACUAGGCUAAUCGAACGAAAACAACUUAAACACCAUAAAACUUCCACCUCAAAUUUCUCCUUACCUAACUCAAGAGGGAGGGAGCUGCUUGGAGGGGUUGUUGCACGGGAGGAGGGCUACAAAACCGUACCAAGCUUGCCCAGAUUGGUGGCCGGAGGAGAAAGUUCCGGCGAAGUGAAGCUUUGGACAGUCGGACCUUUCGGGUGGCACCGCUCUCUCACGGCGGAGCUAGGGCUCCUCUCACCGGUCCAGGGAGGUUGCUGGGUUGGAGGUCGACCGAACGGGACCGGUGCGGCGGCGGUUGGUGGCCGGACGGCGGCGGGAGGACGGCCGGAAAACCGGGCAGCGGGAGGCUCGGGGAGAGGAAAAGAAAAAGAGGGAAGAAGAGAAAGGGAGGAGGAAAAAGAAAUGGGUUGGGCCUCCACCGGUCCAACCUAUAUCAACCCAAUUCAAAAAAAAUAAAAACACCCCGAAAAAAUAAUACCCGAAU